AAUCAACGCUGGCGGCGUGCCUCAGACAUGCAAGUCGAACGAUUAAAGCUCCCUUCGGGGGAGUGCAUAGAGUGGCGCACGGGUGAGUAACACGUAAGUAAUCUACCUUCGAGUGGGGAAUAACACCGAGAAAUCGGUGCUAAUACCGCAUAAUGCAGCGGCAUCGCAAGAUGACAGUUGUUAAAGAUUUAUCGCUUGAAGAGGAGCUUGCGGCAGAUUAGCUAGUUGGUAAGGUAAUGGCUUACCAAGGCUACGAUCUGUAACCGGUCUAAGAGGACGGUCGGUCACACUGACACUGAAUAACGGGUCAGACUCCUACGGGAGGCAGCAGUCGGGAAUUUUGGGCAAUGGGCGAAAGCCUGACCCAGCAACGCCGCGUGAAGGAUGAAGUAUUUCGGUAUGUAAACUUCGAAAGAAUAGAAGAAUAAAUGACGGUACUAUUUAUAAGCUCCGG
rnacentral:rRNA from 1 species